GUUUGUAACUCUGAGGUUCUACUGGAUAUCCAUUAGAGGUGCCGAUUCCGUGGAUACUCCAGGGGCAGGGAAAAAAUAGUGGGUUCACCACCCACCAGCCACCUGCCAAUCAGCUGUUUGUUCAUCCUGCAGAGUCUCUGAAAGAAGAAGAAAGUCAGUUAGUGCCGAUGCUGAUAUACCAAAGAGGAUCAGUAAGGAAACUUUAUUCAGAAGAAUAUUGCCACUUCAACAGGACUGCUCCUGUGGUUUCAUACAAUACCACCUGUCAUGUUUGGCACUUCUCCAAUGGGGAAUCCUGACAUGGUCUACAAACAUUAAUGGAUAUAGCCUCCAAACCCCUGGCAUGGUAGCAUCUGGAUGCUGUUCGUUUAAAAAAUUCAAUUUAAUUCAACUUUUGUCCUGGACUUACCUCCUGCAAAGCACAAGAGAGUGGCAAGUCCCACGAAAAAAACCUUCAUGUCAGCAGAGAAAGAGGCAAGAUGAACCCGACAGCCUGAGUGUGCGUCAGCAGAACACAGGGAUAUCUCCAGAACUGGCUGUGGUGGAGCAGAGUUUCAGUCUUGCUUUCUCUGAUCCUGUCAGCUUAUGCGGUGCCUGCCCUAUUGUAGGGUGGGAAAAGUGAGUUUUAAAAUUGCUUUACAGUAAAGAGUACAAAUUGCCUGCUCCAGGGACCUUCUGACUUCCCCCAAGAAAAGCUCAGUGGUCAUCACAUUUCCAAAAAGGUUGUGAAGGAAGCCUCCAAUGAUCACACACAAUAGCCGGACCUGUCUUCCUUUAUAUUUUCUUUCAUUAACAAUCUUUUUGAAUAGGCAUGAAGCUGAGGCUCUGACCACAUGAAUGUAAUUAACAAACCGUGGAGAAUUUUUGCAACAACGGCUAUUUUUCUUUUGGAGCUCUAUCCCAAUCGCAAAUCAGCCAACAAACCAUAAUAAAAUGCUGCUGACAAAUAUAAUCUGGGGCCACAUGUCUCAUUCUGAUCAGCUCCCUUUAAGAAAGAUGUAGCUGAGAUUCAGAUUUUAAGGUGAAAAGGGAUGAUUGUGAUCAUUUAGUCUUACUUUCAGCAUAGCACAAGAUGUAGAGUUUCACCUAGUGAUUCCUUCCCUGGAGGGAUUUAUUUUUGGCUUGGAAAAGGUCCAGAGUAGGUCAGCAAAACUGGUCAGAGUAAUAUGAUGAGAGAUUUCAGGGACUAGAAUUUUUUUAGCCUGAUAGAGAGAAGAUCUAGAGUUAGACUGGGAGUAAAUCCGUUUUUCAUAUUUUCCUUUUAAACAAAUACUGGGAAGUUUGCUGGUAUGUUUCAUAAGAAAGAAAGAAAGAAAGAAAGAAACGAAUAUAGUCAUGAGCACAUAGGGCAGAAAAUACACAGAUGGGUGCGCUCUUCUGGCUCAGAUCCUCAGUGCUGUAAAUCAGCAUAACUCCUUUGAAGUCAAUGGUCCUAAAUUUGUUUAGGUCAACUAAGGAUCUGGCCCUCCCUGUUUUGUAAUCCAUCUUCCCAGGGCCCAUGAGUGCCCUGGCUUGAAUCAUCUUUACUUUUCUAUUCAGUCAUCUCUUACGAUAAACAUCCCCUGCUCCCUUUGGAUGAGCUCCAAGCCCUGAAGCAAACACAAAAGCCACCUUCAGUGCCAAUAAUUUAGCUGCUGAACUCCAUGCUACAAGUAGAAAAUAAUGUUCUCUUAUGAGUUACUGGACUUCAUGCAAGACAAAGGACUUGCUAGAACCAAAGGUUUCCUCUUUCUCUGGAGCUGCUACCAAAGAAGGUAUUUUGACCACCCUAGAAAUUACUAGUCUAAGCUUCCCCUACUGGAGGGGACGGCAGGACCUGCCAGCAAAUGACCCGUCACCAGGACACAUUUAUAAGACCAAAGACAGGCAAGUGCAUGAAUGUGCAAAAUGUUGGGGGUGCAGCCCAUUUGAAAAUUUGUAUUGACCUUGGAAUGAUUAAAUACCCUCCACCCAACACAGGGCUAAGUCCUACAAACUUUAUAUUAGAACUCCUAUGCUUUACUAACUGAGCUAAGCAGGCUCAUGUAGAACACCCUAGCUGAUCCUGUACUUAAGCAGCUGCCUAUGAAACAUCACCUUCUGUAAUAAAAGUGUGUCUUGACCUUUGGUAUAAAAGCAACACAGAACAGUCGGAGCCGUGUUCUGCUUUCACUGAUUUUAGAGGGUGAAUCUUGUGCAGUUAAUAUUCUUUAAACAGGCCUAAUGAAAGCUACAGGUGUUAGCUGGAGCCCAGCAUAGGAAGAAGAAGAAAGAUGAUGAACACUUUAUGUAGAAAAGUCAAAUGCAAUUCAAAUCUUAUUGGGGGAUCUCUUACCAUGCGAUAUCCAGCCAAGCAGCCUGCUGGCAAACUGAAGUCCGAGUGUCUGCCCGUCUCAAGGUCUCUGCCUGCCUUCUCACAAGAUCCACCACAGCUCUACAAACAAAAUAAUUCUGUUUGAACCAAUGGUCACAGGUUGUUCAGUCCCGGGGGUGGGGGUGGGGAUAUUGUUUCCCUGGAACAAUGCUUUCCCCCACACACCCUGCACCUGAGUAAUCAGGCGCCUCGCCCUCCUUUCCAGCACCAUGCUUCCCAAACACAGAUAAGUUAACUCUAUGUAUGUCUACACUGCCAUGCAAGGCCAGGGUUAGUAGAACUCCAGUUCAUAGGCGCUG